ACUCCUACGGGAGGCAGCAGUAGGGAAUCUUCCACAAUGGGCGCAAGCCUGAUGGAGCAACACCGCGUGAGUGAAGAAGGGUUUCGGCUCGUAAAGCUCUGUCGUUAAAGAAGAACACGUAUGAGAGUAACUGUUCAUACGUUGACGGUAUUUAACCAGAAAGUCACGGCUAACUACGUGCCAGCAGCCGCGGUAAUACGUAGGUGGCAAGCGUUAUCCGGAUUUAUUGGGCGUAAAGAGAGUGCAGGCGGUUUUCUAAGUCUGAUGUGAAAGCCUUCGGCUUAACCGGAGAAGUGCAUCGGAAACUGGAUAACUUGAGUGCAGAAGAGGUAGUGGAACUCCAUGUGUAGCGGUGGAAUGCGUAGAUAUAUGGAAGAACACCAGUGGCGAAGGCGGCUACCUGGUCUGCAACUGACGCUGAGACUCGAAAGCAUGGGUAGCGAACAGGAUUAGAUACCCCGU
rnacentral:rRNA from 1 species